UACGUAGGUGGCAAGCGUUGUCCGGAUUUACUGGGCGUAAAGAGCGCGCAGGCGGUCGUUCAAGUCGCGUGUGAAAGCCCCCUGGCUCAACUGGGGAGGGUCACGCGAUACUGAUCGACUCGAAGGCAGGAGAGGGUAGUGGAAUUCCCGGUGUAGUGGUGAAAUGCGUAGAUAUCGGGAGGAACACCAGUGGCGAAGGCGACUACCUGGCCUGUUCUUGACGCUGAGGCGCGAAAGCUAGGGGAGCAAACGGG
rnacentral:rRNA from 1 species